CUAGCGUAUAUUAAAGUUGUUGCAGUUAAAAAGCUCGUAGUUGGAUUUCUGGGAGGGUGCCAAUGUCCGUCGUCGUACGUGUUGCAGCGGCGCCCUUCCAUCCUUCUGUUAACAACUUUGGGCAUUCACUUGCCGGAGUCGGGCUCAGAUAUUUUACCUUGAGAAAAUUAGAGUGUUUCAGGCAGGCUAGGCCGGAAUACAUUAGCAUGGAAUAAUGGAAUAGGACUACGGUCUCUUUGUUGGUUUGAGGGACUGCAGUAAUGAUUAAUAGGGAUAGUUGGGGGCAUUAGUAUUUAAUUGUCAGAGGUGGAAUUCUCGGAUUUGUUAAAGACUAACUUAUGCGAAAGCAUUUGCCAGGAUGUUUUCAUUAAUCAAGAACAAAAGUUAGGGGAUCAAAGACGAUCAGAUACCGUCCUAGUCUUAACCAUAAACUAUGCCGACUCGGGAUCGGGGGCGCGAACUAUCCGCCUUCGGCACCGUAUGAGAAAUCAAAGUCUUU
rnacentral:rRNA from 1 species